rnacentral:lncRNA from 1 species
GAGCCUGCUGCUGUGCUGCUGCUGCCGUCUCCAACUCCAUGCAAGGCUGAUCUCUUCUCUAGGGCUGGAUGCAGCCCUAACACAGGGACAUGGGUUUUAUAUUUGAUUUUAUAUUCUUGGGGUUGUAUGAACUUAUUGUUUUUAAUGGAUAUAUUCUUUUGAAUCAUAUUUAAUUUCUGUGAUUUUAAGUAUGAUGUUCGUA